rnacentral:rRNA from 1 species
UGGGAAGGACGAGCGAGCAGCCGUGGUAGGCGGAAACGUGGGGACGGGGGUCCGAAUCAAUGGGCUUAAAGGGGGGGUAGGCGGCCGCUCAAGUCCGGGGGGAAAUCCCCCAGCCCAACUGGGGAAGUGCCUUGGAUACGGAGCGGCUCGAGCGGGGUAGGGGCAUGUGGAACUUCCGGUGGAGCGGUGAAAUGCGUAGAUAUCGGAAGGAACGCCGGUGGCGAAAGCGACGUGCUGGACCCCCCCUGACGCUGAGGCGCGAAAGCCAGGGGAGCGAACGGGAUUAGAUACCCUAGUAGUC